CAGCCGCCACGGGAAUACAGAGGGUGCGAGCGUUAAUCGGAUUUACUGGGCGUAAAGCGUGCGUAGGCGGCUUUUUAAGUCGGAUGUGAAAUCCCUGAGCUUAACUUAGGAAUUGCAUUCGAUACUGGGAAGCUAGAGUAUGGGAGAGGAUGGUAGAAUUCCAGGUGUAGCGGUGAAAUGCGUAGAGAUCUGGAGGAAUACCGAUGGCGAAGGCAGCCAUCUGGCCUAAUACUGACGCUGAGGUACGAAAGCAUGGGGAGCAAACAGGAUUAGAUACCCCCGUAGUCCCUGUCUCUUAUAC
rnacentral:rRNA from 1 species